CAUGCAAGUCGAACGGAAAGGCCCCUUCGGGGGUACUCGAGUGGCGAACGGGUGAGUAACACGUGGGCAAUCUGCCCUGCACUUCGGGAUAAGCCUGGGAAACUGGGUCUAAUACCGGAUAGGACCACUUGGCGCAUGCCUUGUGGUGGAAAGCUUUUGCGGUGUGGGAUGGGCCCGCGGCCUAUCAGCUUGUUGGUGGGGUGAUGGCCUACCAAGGCGACGACGGGUAGCCGGCCUGAGAGGGUGUCCGGCCACACUGGGACUGAGAUACGGCCCAGACUCCUACGGGAGGCAGCAGUGGGGAAUAUUGCACAAUGGGCGCAAGCCUGAUGCAGCGACGCCGCGUGGGGGAUGACGGCCUUCGGGUUGUAAACCUCUUUCAGCAGGGACGAAGCGAAAGUGACGGUACCUGCAGAAGAAGCACCGGCCAACUACGUGCCAGCAGCCGCGGUAAUACGUAGGGUGCGAGCGUUGUCCGGAAUUACUGGGCGUAAAGAGCUCGUAGGUGGUUUGUCGCGUUGUUCGUGAAAACCGGGGGCUUAACCCUCGGCGUGCGGGCGAUACGGGCAGACUAGAGUACUGCAGGGGAGACUGGAAUUCCUGGUGUAGCGGUGGAAUGCGCAGAUAUCAGGAGGAACACCGGUGGCGAAGGCGGGUCUCUGGGCAGUAACUGACGCUGAGGAGCGAAAGCGUGGGGAGCGAACAGGAUUAGAUACCCUGGUAGUCCACGCCGUAAACGGUGGGUACUAGGUGUGGGUUUCCUUCCUUGGGAUCCGUGCCGUAGCUAACGCAUUAAGUACCCCGCCUGGGGAGUACGGCCGCAAGGCUAAAACUCAAAGGAAUUGACGGGGGCNNGCACAAGCGGCGGAGCAUGUGGAUUAAUUCGAUGCAACGCGAAGAACCUUACCUGGGUUUGACAUGCACAGGACGCGUCUAGAGAUAGGCGUUCCCUUGUGGCCUGUGUGCAGGUGGUGCAUGGCUGUCGUCAGCUCGUGUCGUGAGAUGUUGGGUUAAGUCCCGCAACGAGCGCAACCCUUGUCUCAUGUUGCCAGCGGGUAAUGCCGGGGACUCGUGAGAGACUGCCGGGGUCAACUCGGAGGAAGGUGGGGAUGACGUCAAGUCAUCAUGCCCCUUAUGUCCAGGGCUUCACACAUGCUACAAUGGCCGGUACAAAGGGCUGCGAUGCCGCAAGGUUAAGCGAAUCCUUUUAAAGCCGGUCUCAGUUCGGAUCGGGGUCUGCAACUCGACCCCGUGAAGUCGGAGUCGCUAGUAAUCGCAGAUCAGCAACGCUGCGGUGAAUACGUUCCCGGGCCUUGUACACACCGCCCGUCACGUCAUGAAAGUCGGUAACACCCGAAGCCAGUGGCCUAACCCUUGGGAGGGAGCUGUCG
rnacentral:rRNA from 1 species